CAGCAGCCGCGGUAAUACGAAGGGUGCAAGCGUUAAUCGGAAUUACUGGGCGUAAAGCGUGCGUAGGCGGUUUGUUAAGUCUGUUGUGAAACCCCCGGGCUCAACCUGGGAAUGGCAAUGGAUACUGGCAAGCUAGAGUGUGUCAGAGGAUGGUGGAAUUCCCGGUGUAGCGGUGAAAUGCGUAGAGAUCGGGAGGAACAUCAGUGGCGAAGGCGGCCAUCUGGGACAACACUGACGCUGAGGCACGAAAGCGUGGGGAGCAAACAGGAUUAGAUACCCCAGUAGUCCCUGUCUCUUAUAC
rnacentral:rRNA from 1 species